GAUGAACGCUGGCGGCGUGCCUAAUACAUGCAAGUCGAGCGAACGGACGAGAAGCUUGCUUCUCUGAUGUUAGCGGCGGACGGGUGAGUAACACGUGGAUAACCUACCUAUAAGACUGGGAUAACUUCGGGAAACCGGAGCUAAUACCGGAUAAUAUUUUUAACCGCAUGGUUCAAAAGUGAAAGACGGUCUUGCUGUCACUUAUAGAUGGAUCCGCGCUGCAUUAGCUAGUUGGUAAGGUAACGGCUUACCAAGGCAACGAUGCAUAGCCGACCUGAGAGGGUGAUCGGCCACACUGGAACUGAGACACGGUCCAGACAACUACGGGAGGCAGCAGUAGGGAAUCUUCCGCAGUGGGCGAAAGCCUGACGGAGCAACGCCGCGUGAGUGAUGAAGGUCUUCGGAUCGUAAAACUCUGUUAUUAGGGAAGAACAUAUGUGUAAGUAACUGUGCACAUCUUGACGGUACCUAAUCAGAAAGCCACGGCUAACUACGUG
rnacentral:rRNA from 1 species